CAAACAGAGAGACUGGGAUGACCCGUCUCUGCCUGAGGAUGUGCUGCAGCCAUGGCUGACAUGGGAGGAAGAAUUGCAGCAUCUCUCCCAGAUUCUACUGCCUCGCUGCUACACUGAAAAAAGGGAGACUGGUCACCUGUUAGAUUUAUCAAAUUAUAUUUAGUAUGUUUUUCUAAAGGGUUUUAUGUUCUUAAGUAAAACGUGAUAGCAUUGUGUAGACUGCACGUUAUAUGCAGAAAGCGUGCACGAACAUAUUUAGCUCAUGUUGGGAUAAAGUAAGUCAAUCAAGUGAAUACCAGUUCUCAUUUUAUCUCACGAUAUUCACGCACGGGUGCAAUGCAUUUUGGGAAGAAGAAAGAAAAGUCAGCGCUUUUUUCAACGUUCCCAGUCCCACUUGCAACUUCCAGCUCAAUUCACCCUGGGUCUAUUCCACCAUCGCUCAGCUCAACUCUAUGGACACUAAACUCACACUCUGUACAUGUCAUGUGGAGUCAGCUCUUUCACUGUGGGCUCACAUUUGUGUGUGACAAGUGAUGCAGAAAAUGCUGUGAAUGUGGCGUUAUAAAGCCUGCCCCUCAGUUUUACCAACUGAAAAUACUUCAAACGAUGAUAUAGGUGAGGUAUACUUGGAUGCACAACCAGAUUCCAGUAUAGAUGCCCCAAAAGACCUUCCAAAUGUAAUAGAACACACUUUUGCAGCAGCUCUGUUAAAGUUAGAACAUUUUACUCAUGUACCAAGUACAGCAAUCAGUGAUUUUUUUGUCUGACCUUAACCACUUAACUAGCUCUCUCUCAAGUUCCCACACUGAUGGUGUUCUAGUUGAUAUUUUUCAGAAGCACAACCUUCAGGUUGACAGAGAUGUCAUAGAGGAAAUAACCACUGCUUUAUGCACAGGGAAUCCUAUAAAUAAAGCCAUAGCUAAGGGUGGGACUUUGAGUUCUGCAUAUCAACGUAAGCAGUAUUAUAAGGCAAACUUUAAUGUAAUAGAACCAGUUGAAUAUAUUUUGGAUGCUAAAGCGAACAAAACCAUUCAGUAUGUCCCCAUUCUUGAAUCACUACGAGUGCUUUUGAAUAGGAAAGACAUCUUGGACAAGAUAGUUUGUAAUCACCAAACAGAGGAGACUUCAGGUGAAAUUGUAUACAGCUCUUUCAGGGACGGUCUGCAUUUUAAGCAAAACACUUUUUUGUCAGGCGAGGAGUUAAGACUAUCUGUAACUUUGUAUGUUGAUGACUUCGAGGUCUGCAACCCUCUAGGCACCUCCCGUAAAACACACAACCUUUGUGCUCUGUAUUGGGUGCUGAGUAACCUUCCUCCUGGGUGUAAUUCAUCUUUGACCUCCAUCUACUUAGCACUGUUGUGCAAAACAGACGAUGUCAAGUGCUAUGGCUAUGACAAGGUUUUAGAACCACUUGUUAGAGA